rnacentral:rRNA from 1 species
GCCUGCAUGUCUAAGUAAAAACUAAAUAAUGGUGAAACUGCAAAUGGCUCAUUACAACGGUUAUGAUGUACCCGGGAUUUCCGAUGGAUAUUUCCAGUAACACUAGAGCUAAUACAUGUUUCUGCGUUUAUUAGUUUCAAACAAAAUUGUUGCUGAGUCAUGGUAAACGGUUGAUCGAUUCGACAUCCCGGAACGGUUUCCGCCCCAUCAGCUUCGAUGGUUGGGUAUUGGCCUACCAUUGCAACAACGGGUGACGAGGAAUUAGGGUUUGAUUUCGGAGAGGGAGCCUGAGAAACGGCUACCACAUCUACGGAUGGCAGCAGGCGCGCAAAUUACCCAAUGCAGACUCUGUGAGGUAGUGACGAGAAAUAAUAAAGUGAGGCUUUUGUCUUACUAUUAUAAUGAGGAAUAACUAAAUGUCAUUCCUAUUAGCAACUGAUGGGAAAGUCUGGUGCCAGCAGCCGCGGUAAUACCAGCUUCAGUAGCAUAUACUAAAAUUGUUGCAGUUAAAACGUCCGUAGUCUGUACGUCGUCUAUGACUUUACUACUGCGCUAUCUGUUCCUGAACGGUUAGUUGCUUGUAGUUACUCCCUUGAUCAAAAUAGACUGUUCAAGGUAGACUGAGUCUUCAUAUUUUCACAUGGAAUUGAGUGAAGGAACUUAAGAGGUUAGGUUUCUCGUCUUAGGAGCAUUUAGGGAUAUUAGUACUUGGCCGCGAGAGGUGAAAUUUUUGGACCGGUCAAAGACUAUCAGCAGCGAAAGCAUUUGUCAGAAAUGUUUUCUGCGACAAAGGACGAAGG